AGUGAACGCUGGCGGUAGGCCUAACACAUGCAAGUCGAACGGCAGCACAGUAAGAGCUUGCUCUUACGGGUGGCGAGUGGCGGACGGGUGAGGAAUACAUCGGAAUCUACUUUUUCGUGGGGGAUAACGUAGGGAAACUUACGCUAAUACCGCAUACGACCUACGGGUGAAAGCAGAGGAUCUUCGGACCUUGCGCGAUUGAAUGAGCCGAUGUCGGAUUAGCUAGUUGGCGGGGUAAAGGCCCACCAAGGCGACGAUCCGUAGCUGGUCUGAGAGGAUGGUCAGCCACACUGGAACUGAGACACGGUCCAGACUCCUACGGGAGGCAGCAGUGGGGAAUAUUGGACAAUGGGCGCAAGCCUGAUCCAGCCAUACCGCGUGGGUGAAGAAGGCCUUCGGGUUGUAAAGCCCUUUUGUUGGGAAAGAAAAGCAGCAGGUUAAUACCCCGCUGUUCUGACGGUACCCAAAGAAUAAGCACCGGCUAACUUCGUG
rnacentral:rRNA from 1 species